GACGAACGCUGGCGGCGUGCUUAACACAUGCAAGUCGAACGGUGAAGGGACUGGUUUUGCUGGUCCUGGAUGAGUGGCGAACGGGUGAGUAACACGUGAGUAACCUGCCCCCUUCUUCUGGAUAACCGCAUGAAAGUGUGGCUAAUACGGGAUAUUCUGGGUCUGUCGCAUGGUGGGCCUGGGAAAGAUUGCGCCUUUUUUGGUGUUUUUGGUGGGGGAUGGGCUCGCGGCCUAUCAGCUUGUUGGUGGGGUGAUGGCCUACCAAGGCGGUGACGGGUAGCCGGCCUGAGAGGGUGGACGGUCACACUGGGACUGAGACACGGCCCAGACUCCUACGGGAGGCAGCAGUGGGGAAUAUUGCACAAUGGGCGCAAUCCUGAUGCAGCGACGCCGCGUGAGGGAUGGAGGCCUUCGGGUUGUGAACCUCUUUCGCCAGUGAAGCAGGCCUGCCUCUUUUUGUGGGUGGGUUGACGGUAGCUGGAUAAGAAGCGCCGGCUAACUACGUG
rnacentral:rRNA from 1 species